rnacentral:rRNA from 1 species
CCUACGGGAGGCAGCAGUGGGGAAUCUUGUGCAAUGGACGAAAGUCUGACACAGCCACGCCGCGUGCGGGAAGAAGGCCUUCGGGUUGUAAACCGCUUUCAGCAGGAACGAAAAUGACGGUACCUGCAGAAGAAGAUGCGGCCAACUACGUGCCAGCAGCCGCGGUGAUACGUAGGCAUCAAGCGUUGUCCGGAUUUAUUGGGCGUAAAGAGCUCGUAGGCGGUUCAGCAAGUCGGGUGUGAAAACUCUGGGCUUAACCCAGAGCCUGCACUCGAAACUGCUGUGACUAGAGUUCGGUAGGGGAGCAGGGAAUUCCUAGUGUAGCGGUGAAAUGCGCAGAUAUUAGGAGGAACACCAAUGGCGAAGGCACUGCUCUGGGCCGAUACUGACGCUGAGGAGCGAGAGCGUGGGUAGCAAACAGGAUUAGAUACCCUGGUAGUCCACGCCGUAAACGAUGGGCACUAGGUGUGGGUCUCUAACCAACGAGAUCUGCACCGUCGCUAACGCAUUAAGUGCCCCGCCUGGGGAGUACGGUCGCAAGACUAAAACUUAAGGAAUUGACGG